UGUAAAGAGACAGCAGUCGCCGCGGUAAUACAGAGGGUGCGAGCGUUAAUCGGAUUUACUGGGCGUAAAGCGUGCGUAGGCGGCUUUUUAAGUCGGAUGUGAAAUCCCUGAGCUUAACUUAGGAAUUGCAUUCGAUACUGGGAAGCUAGAGUAUGGGAGAGGAUGGUAGAAUUCCAGGUGUAGCGGUGAAAUGCGUAGAGAUCUGGAGGAAUACCGAUGGCGAAGGCAGCCAUCUGGCCUAAUACUGACGCUGAGGUACGAAAGCAUGGGGAGCAAACAGGAUUAGAUACCCCUGUAGUCCCUGUCUCUUAUAC
rnacentral:rRNA from 1 species